UUAGUGGCGGACGGGUGAGUAACGCGUGGAUAACCUACCGUAUACAGGGGGAUAACACUUAGAAAUAGGUGCUAAUACCGCAUAAGCGCACGGUUCCGCAUGGAACAGUGUGAAAAACUCCGGUGGUAUACGAUGGAUCCGCGUCUGAUUAGCCAGUUGGCGGGGUAACGGCCCACCAAAGCGACGAUCAGUAGCCGGCCUGAGAGGGUGAACGGCCACAUUGGGACUGAGACACGGCCCAAACUCCUACGGAAGGCAGCAG
rnacentral:rRNA from 1 species